rnacentral:rRNA from 1 species
CCGUACCGCAAACCGACACUGGUGGACGAGCUGAAUAUGCUCAGGCGCUUGAGAGAACUCGGGAGAAGGAACUCGGCAAAUUGACACCGUAACUUCGGAAGAAGGUGUGCCGUAGUACCGUGAGAGGAGAGACACCUUGAGCGGGAAACGGUCUCAGAGAAUAGGUGGCUGCGACUGUUUAUUAAAAACACAGCACUCUGCAAAGUCGAAAGACGACGUAUAGGGUGUGAUGCCUGCCCGGUGCUGGAAGAUUAAUUGAUGGGGUGAGAGUCCUUGAUCGAAGUCCCAGUAAACGGCGGCCGUAACUAUAACGGUCCUAAGGUAGCGAAAUUCCUUGUCGGGUAAGUUCCGACCUGCACGAAUGGCAUAACGAUGGCCACACUGUCUCCUCCCGAGACUCAGUGAAGUUGAAAUGUUUGUGAUGAUGCAAUCUACCCGCGGCUAGACGGAAAGACCCCAUGAACCUUUACUGCAGCUUUGCAUUGAACUGUGAACCGAUUUGUGUAGGAUAGGUGGGAGGCAGAGAAGAGGCCACGCCAGUGGCCUUGGAGCCGACCUUGAAAUACCACCCUGAUUUGUUUGCGGUUCUAACCACGGACAGUGAUCCUGUCUUGGGACCGUGCAUGGUAGGCAGUUUGACUGGGGCGGUCUCCUCCUAAAGGGUAACGGAGGAGUACGAAGGUACGCUAGGUACGGUCGGAAAUCGUGCUGAUAGUGCAAUGGCAAAAGCGUGCUUGACUGCGAGAGCAACAACUCGAGCAGAUGCGAAAGCAGGUCAUAGUGAUCCGGUGGCUCUGAAUGGAAGGGCCAUCGCUCAACGGAUAAAAGGUACCCUGGGGAUAACAGGCUGAUACCGCCCAAGAGUUCAUAUCGACGGCGGUGUUUGGCACCUCGAUGUCGGCUCAUCUCAUCCUGGGGCUGUAGUCGGUCCCAAGGGUAUGGCUGUUCGCCAUUUAAAGAGGUACGUGAGCUGGGUUUAAAACGUCGUGAG